UACGUAGGGCGCAAGCGUUGUCCGGAAUUAUUGGGCGUAAAGAGCUCGUAGGUGGUUUGUCGCGUCUGUCGUGAAAGCCCAUGGCUUAACUGUGGGUCUGCGGUGGAUACGGGCAGGCUGGAGGCAGGUAGGGGAGAACGGAAUUCCCGGUGUAGCGGUGAAAUGCGCAGAUAUCGGGAGGAACACCGGUGGCGAAGGCGGUUCUCUGGGCCUGUACUGACGCUGAGGAACGAAAGCGUGGGGAGCGAACAGG
rnacentral:rRNA from 1 species